UACGGGGGGGGGCAAGCGUUGUUCGGAAUUACUGGGCGUAAAGGGCUCGUAGGCGGCCAACUAAGUCAGACGUGAAAUCCCUCGGCUUAACCGGGGAACUGCAUCUGAUACUGGAUGGCUUGAGUUUGGGAGAGGGAUGCGGAAUUCCAGGUGUAGCGGUGAAAUGCGUAGAUAUCUGGAGGAACACCGGUGGCGAAGGCGGCAUCCUGGACCAACACUGACGCUGAGGAGCGAAAGCCAGGGGAGCAAACGGG
rnacentral:rRNA from 1 species